rnacentral:rRNA from 1 species
CCUACGGGGGGCAGCAGUGGGGAAUAUUGCGCAAUGGGCGAAAGCCUGACGCAGCGACGCCGCGUGAGGGAUGAAGGUCUUCGGAUCGUAAACCUCUGUCAGCAGGGAAGAACGGUCACUGUGCUAAUCAGCAGUGAAUUGACGGUACCUGCAAAGGAAGCACCGGCUAACUCCGUGCCAGCAGCCUCGGUAAUACGGAGGGUGCGAGCGGUAAUCGGAAUUACUGGGCGUAAAGCGCUCGUAGGCGGUAGGUCAAGUCAAGGGUGAAAUCCCCGCGCUCAACGUGGGAACUGCCUUUGAAACUGGCAAACUGGAGUGUGUGAGAGGAUAGUGGAAUUCCAGGUGUAGGAGUGAAAGCCGUAGAUAUCUGGAGGAACAUCAGUGGCGAAGGCGACUAUCUGGCACAUAACUGACGCUGAGGAGCGAAAGCGUGGGUAGCAAACAGGAUUAGAUACCCGAGUAGUC